rnacentral:lncRNA from 1 species
AUGGUGUUCACCUCUAUAUUGAAUUUGACUUUAAAGUUUCACACCUCAGUUAAAAUGUUAAAAGAAAUUAGUUGUCAUUGUUCUUCAUGUGAUAUGAAAAAAAAAACAUAAAAAAAAAAACAUUGAAUCUCACCUCACUUGUGAUCGUCCAUUGUAAAUCUAACGGAAGCUGGACAAACUCAUCAAAUUUGCUCCCGACCAUUACUGGAAUCGCGGUCUGAAAGAUUCAAACAAUAAUCAAUCAGAUAAAGAAACCGAAAAUCAUUAAAAUGUUAUUUUAGAUAUAAUUCAUAUUUACCUGAUUAUAAUUCCUAGCUUGUUGAUGCCAAUUGAUAACACUAAACACAAUACAAAAAGAACAACAUUUUAACAAAAAAAAUUAAGAUAAAAAUAUAUAAAGACGAAACAUAUAUCAUAUACUCAUUUACCUGUUAAGCGUCCGACGACUUGUUAGAUCAAACAUGAACAAGAUCGCUACAGAGUCCUUACAAGCUGUAGGAAUCAGAGUCCUUGAAUCACCAUCUAUAAAACAAUAGGAAAUUGAUUAAUUUUUCGUUAACGGAUUCUCACGAUGAAAAAAAAUCAAUGGUUAGAGAAUAAUUAAACCGAUUAAACCGAAUUAAAUUUAAAACAAGGAACUGAUAAUAUGAUAUCUUGUUUACCUGGAUAUAAUGCAUCACCACUAACUUCCCAUAUGUUAUAUGAGAUUCUGGCUCCUUUGACACAUAGGGUUUUAUCCAUAUGAUCUAUUUUUUUAGUUGAUGAUUCUUCUUGAUUUUUUUCUUUCCCCACAUAUUUUGCCUGCAAUCAUGCAAUUACACACUAAAUAUAGGUAAUUAUACAUAUCUUUUUUGAAUAUUAUUAGUAUUCUUGGUUUUAAAAAGCGAUAUACGCACAAAAGCUACGAGGUCUAAAAUUCAGGCGCGAAGCGCAAAGCGCAAAAGCAUUGGGAUUUUCGUACCCGAGGCGCAAGGUGUUUAUAUAAUUUUUUUAUAUAUCCCAUAGGUUUUUAGCUUUUUUAACCAAAAUAUAGCUAUAUAUAAAUAAGGCUUUUAUAUCAUUUUACUUACAUGUACAGGUCAAAAAACCUAAGGUACAACUUUUUUCUGCAGAAAAACGCCUCAGAUAAAUGAGGCGCACGCCUCAGUCCAAAAAGCCCCCAAAAAAACCCAAAAUUCUGUGCCUUUUGGGCACUUCUUGUAAUUACACAAGGCGCUGACGAAAAAGCCCUAGAAGUUGCGCCUUAGUGCGCCUCGCGCCUCAACGCGCUUUGUAAAACCAAGUUAGUAUUAUAUCUUACAAAUAUGAGUUUAUAAUGAAUGCUAAACAAAAAAGAGAUCAACUUGUAAAAAAUGUUUUUUUUUUAGUUUGCUAGACAAUGUACAAAUUCUUCAAUAAUGCAAUAAGUUUCAACACUACAAGUAAUCCAAUAAAUUAGUAAGAAUAACUAUUUGUUUUUUAUGUUUGUCAAGUAAUAUAGGAUAAUU